UAGGGAAUCUUCGGCAAUGGACGAAAGUCUGACCGAGCAACGCCGCGUGAGUGAAGAAGGUUUCGGAUCGUAAACUCUGUUGGUAGAGAAGAACGUUGGUGAGAGUGGAAAGCUCAUCAAGUGACGGUAACUACCCAGAAAGGGACGGCUAACUACGUGCCAG
rnacentral:rRNA from 1 species